CCUACGGGGGGCAGCAGUGGGGAAUAUUUCGCAAUGGGCGCAAGCCUGACCCAGCAACGCCGCGUGAAGGAAGGAGGCUUUCGGGUUGGAAACUUCUUUUCUGAGGGACGAAGAAAGUGACGGUACCUCAGGAAUAAGCCACGGCUAACUACGUGCCAGCAGCCGCGGCAAUACGUAGGUGGCAAGCGUGAUUCGGAUUCAUUGGGUGUAAAGGGCGUGUAGGCGGGAAAGCAAGUCAUAUGUGAAAACUCAGGGCUCAACCCUGAGCCUGUAUUUGAAACUGUUUUUCUUGUAGGCUGGAGGGGCAAUCGGAAUGCCGGGUGUAGCAGUGAAAUGCGUAGAUAUACGGAGGAACACCAGUGGCGAAGGCGGAUUGCUGGACAGUAACUGACGCUGAGGCGCGAAGGCGUGGGGAGCGAACAGGAUUAGAUACCCGGGUAGUC
rnacentral:rRNA from 1 species